rnacentral:rRNA from 1 species
UACGGGGGGGGCAAGCGUUGUUCGGAAUUACUGGGCGUAAAGGGCUCGUAGGCGGCCAACUAAGUCAGACGUGAAAUCCCUCGGCUUAACCGGGGAACUGCGUCUGAUACUGGUUGGCUUGAGUGCAGGAGAGGAAUGCGGAAUUCCAGGUGUAGCGGUGAGAUGCGUAGAUAUCUGGAGGAACACCGGUGGCGAAGGCGGCAUUCUGGACUGUAACUGACACUGAGGAACGAAAGCCAGGGGAGCAAACGGG